rnacentral:rRNA from 1 species
GAUGAACGCUGGCGGUCUGCUUAACACAUGCAAGUCGAACGGAGUCCUUCGGGAUUUAGUGGCGGACGGGUGAGUAACACGUGAGAAUCUGCACUCAGGAUGGGGACAACAGCGGGAAACUGCUGCUAAUACCCAAUGUGCCGAAAGGUAAAAGAUUUAUCGCCUGAGAAUGAGCUCGCGGCCGAUUAGUUAGUUGGUGGGGUAAUGGCCUACCAAGACGGCGAUCGGUAGCUGGUCUGAGAGGAUGAGCAGCCACACUGGGACUGAGACACGGUCCAGACUCCUACGGGAGGCAGCAGUGGGGAAUUUUCCGCAAUGGGCGCAAGCCUGACGGAGCAAGACCGCGUGGGGGAGGAAGGCUCUUGGGUUGUAAACCCCUUUUCUCAGGGAAGAAGUUCUGACGGUACCUGAGGAAUCAGCCUCGGCUAACUCCGUGCCAGCCGCCGCCGUAACAC